AGGUUGCUUCAAUUCGUUGGUGAUGCACUUUUAAUGCGAUGGUCGCGCGUUCGAAUCGCGCACGACCCACCA
rnacentral:tRNA from 1 species